GACGAACCGUGCGAACGUUGUUCGGAAUCACUGGGCUUAAAGGGCGCGUAGGUGGUCUGUCAAGUCAAGGGUGAAAUCUUUCGGCUCAACCGGAAAACUGCCUUCGAUACUGGCAGGCUAGAGGGAGAUAGGGGUUGCGGGAACUACCAGUGGAGCGGUGAAAUGCGUUGAUAUUGGUAGGAACGCCGGUGGCGAAAGCGCGCAACUGGACCUCUUCUGACACUGAGGCGCGAAAGCUAGGGGAGCAAACGGG
rnacentral:rRNA from 1 species